AGACGUGCGCUCGUUUGCUCCGCAGUCCCCGCGCUCGCUCAGUUUUUGGCUGGCUGUCGCGGAGAGCAGGUGUGUGCUCGGUUGCUCUCCGCAGUCCCUGCGUCCGCUCAGUUUCUGCCUGGCUGAUAACCAGUCGCCGCGGGGGAAAAGAGCUAUGAUGGUGGCGCCAUCUGGUGUGAUGCCUUGCAACUAAGUGGUCACCUGUCGUCGAUCUCUGCAACUGCUGGGUGCCAACUACCAACAUGACGGGCGCUGGUCACUCGGGUGUUGGGGAGCGGCUUCUUCGCCGCGGCAUCGUUGAUUUUCGAAUAAAUUGUUUCUCUCCACUCUA